rfam:Fukomys damarensis contig55181, whole genome shotgun sequence.
GGAGGUGUAGCUCAAUGUAAAGCACUUGCCUGGCAUGCACAUGGCCCUGAGUUCAAUUCCCAGUGCCAUUA